CCUACGGGAGGCAGCAGUGGGGAAUUUUGGACAAUGGGCGCAAGCCUGAUCCAGCCAUGCCGCGUGUGGGAAGAAGGCCUUCGGGUUGUAAACCACUUUUGUCAGGGAAGAAACGGUUUGUCCUAAUACGGCGGACUAAUGACGGUACCUGAAGAAUAAGCACCGGCUAACUACGUGCCAGCAGCCGCGGUAAUACGUAGGGUGCAAGCGUUAAUCGGAAUUACUGGGCGUAAAGCGUGCGCAGGCGGCUUUGCAAGACAGAUGUGAAAUCCCCGGGCUCAACCUGGGAACUGCAUUUGUGACUGCAUGGCUAGAGUACGGUAGAGGGGGAUGGAAUUCCGCGUGUAGCAGUGAAAUGCGUAGAUAUGCGGAGGAACACCGAUGGCGAAGGCAAUCCCCUGGACCUGUACUGACGCUCAUGCACGAAAGCGUGGGGAGCAAACAGGAUUAGAUACCCUGGUAGUCCACGCCCUAAACGAUGUCAACUGGUUGUUGGACGGCUUGCUGUUCAGUACGAAGCUAACGCGUGAAGUUGACCGCCUGGGGNGUAACGGCGCGAGUUAGUAAGUUAAGUUAGAGUUGNGGNGNGAGAGNGCGAGGACGACGACGAGGGAGGAGG
rnacentral:rRNA from 1 species